CAAGUACUCAAUAUUUGGCUUUACAUUUCAGCUACUGGCCUUCAACACCACGGAGAGAGGUGUUUUCCUGGUUUUUCAGAGCUGAGAAGUGAGCUGUCUUCCAACUCACCUGCAUAGGUGGAAGUCUUCCCAGAUGCUGUGCUUGAAUCUCUAAUUUGAUAUAUUUACAAGACUUGCAGAGGCUGUGAGCUGUGUGAAUACAUUGCACAUAAGAACUACAGAUGUUUUAAAGCCUUCUGUGAAAGUGAUUCUGAAGGUGUGGUCCCUGGGCCAGCAGCAUCAACAUCACCUGGAACUUGUGAGAAAUGAAGAUUCUCAGGCUCUUCUCUAUACCUACUGAAUCAGACAUUGGGUGCAAAGGGGAACACUACAGUCUGUCUUUAAGGAGCCCUCAAGAAUUAGGAGCCUCCCAAGCUGAGACAGAUCUCAGCUACUGGCUGUAUGGAGUUGGAUGAGCUUCUUACCUGACCCCUGGGCUUCAGUUUUUCAUCUGCAAGAUGAAGUUUACCAGAGAAUGGGACAAACAGGAGAGAAGUUCCUCUGCUUUUAUGCCAGAUAAUCUUAGAUGAAUGUAUGAUGAUUUUACAAGGUGCACGGAAAGGACUGUAUUGAAUUACAUCAUGAGAAAGUUAUUCCCUUCUGAUCAACUCUCUUUCCCCAGUUUCUACAUUGAGGCAAAGUCUCAGUUUAAUGCUGGAAUAUUAUAACACUUGCUAAUCUUUCUUUAA
ensembl:lncRNA novel transcript